GUCUCCUCCGCCCCCUGCUGGAGAGGUGGUGAAGUACUCAGCUAAGACCAUUGAUCAUGUCGUCCCCAGCCAAGAUGUCCAAGAAAUCAUCAAAAGGUACAACUCCCCACCUCCACCGCCUGAGCUGCUACCACCUGAAAAGAGGAGACCAGAAGGGAAGUUUAGGAAGAAGCAAACCCCUCGAGAUGAAGCUUUACAGAUCCUCAAACCGCAGAUGGACAACCCUC